GACGAACGCUGGCGGCGUGCCUAAUACAUGCAAGUCGAACGCUGAAGGAGGAGCUUGCUUCUCUGGAUGAGUUGCGAACGGGUGAGUAACGCGUAGGUAACCUGCCUGGUAGCGGGGGAUAACUAUUGGAAACGAUAGCUAAUACCGCAUAAUAGCAGUUGUUGCAUGAUAACUGUUUGAAAGGUGCAAUUGCACCACUACCAGAUGGACCUGCGUUGUAUUAGCUAGUUGGUGGGGUAACGGCUCACCAAGGCGACGAUACAUAGCCGACCUGAGAGGGUGAUCGGCCACACUGGGACUGAGACACGGCCCAGACUCCUACGGGAGGCAGCAGUAGGGAAUCUUCGGCAAUGGACGGAAGUCUGACCGAGCAACGCCGCGUGAGUGAAGAAGGUUUUCGGAUCGUAAAGCUCUGUUGUAAGAGAAGAACGAGUGUGAGAGUGGAAAGUUCACACUGUGACGGUAUCUUACCAGAAAGGGACGGCUAACUACGU
rnacentral:rRNA from 1 species